GACGAACGCUGGCGACGUGCCUAAUACAUGCAAGUAGAACGCACAGUUUAUACCGUAGCUUGCUACACCAUAGACUGUGAGUUGCGAACGGGUGAGUAACGCGUAGGUAACCUGCCUGGUAGCGGGGGAUAACUAUUGGAAACGAUAGCUAAUACCGCAUAAUAUUAAUUAUUGCAUGAUAAUUAAUUGAAAGGUGCAAUUGCACCACUACCAGAUGGACCUGCGUUGUAUUAGCUAGUAGGUGAGGUAACGGCUCACCUAGGCGACGAUACAUAGCCGACCUGAGAGGGUGAUCGGCCACACUGGGACUGAGACACGGCCCAGACUCCUACGGGAGGCAGCAGUAGGGAAUCUUCGGCAAUGGACGAAAGUCUGACCGAGCAACGCCGCGUGAGUGAAGAAGGUUUUCGGAUCGUAAAGCUCUGUUGUAAGAGAAGAACGGGUGUGAGAGUGGAAAGUUCACACUGUGACGGUAUCUUACCAGAAAGGGACGGCUAACUACGUG
rnacentral:rRNA from 1 species